rnacentral:tRNA from 1 species
GGGGUUGUGGCUCAGUGGUAAAGCACUUGCCUAGAAUGUGUGGGGCACUGAGUUCGAUUCUCAGCACCCCA